rnacentral:rRNA from 1 species
GAUGAACGCUGGCGGCGUGCCUAAUACAUGCAAGUCGAGCGAACAGACGAGGAGCUUGCUCCUCUGACGUUAGCGGCGGACGGGUGAGUAACACGUGGAUAACCUACCUAUAAGACUGGGAUAACUUCGGGAAACCGGAGCUAAUACCGGAUAACAUGUUGAACCGCAUGGUUCAACAGUGAAAGACGGUCUUGCUGUCGCUUAUAGAUGUAUCCGCGCCGCAUUAGCUAGUUGGUAAGGUAACGGCUUACCAAGGCAACGAUGCGUAGCCGACCUGAGAGGGUGAUCGGCCAAACUGGAACUGAAACACGGUCCAGACUCCUACGGGAGGCAGCAGAAGGGAAACUUACGCAAUGGGCGAAAGCCUGACGGAGCAACGCCGCGUGAGUGAAGAAGGUCUUCGGAUCGUAAAACUCUGUUAUUAGGGAAGAACAAAUGUGUAAGUAACUAUGCACGUCUUGACGGUACCUAAUCAGAAAGCCACGGCUAACUACGUG